rnacentral:rRNA from 1 species
AGACGUCUACAUUAGAUACCCGCGUAGUCCCAGCCGUAAACUAUGCGCGUUAGGUGUAUCGGUGACCACGAGUUACCGAGGUGCCGAAGGGAAACCGUGAAACGUGCCGCCUGGGAAGUACGGUCGCAAGGCUGAGACUUAAAGGAAUUGGCGGGGGAGCACCACAACAGGUGGAGCCUGCGGUUUAAUUGGACUCAACGCCGGGAAGCUCACCGGAUAGGACAGCAGAAUGAUUGCCGGGCUGAAGACCCUGCAUGACUAGCUG